ACUGGCUAACACAUUGCAAAAUCCCAGACUCCCAGAAGAAAAGCAGAAGUUCGGCAUAAGUCACAUUGUUUGUAUACACAGUUUAGGCACAGAAGACCACCUUUAUUUGUUAUGAAAUGAUGUGGACACUUUCAAAAUCCAAGUCUUAAA